ACAUUAAAAAAUCACAAAGUUUGGUAUUAGAUAGAUUAUGAUAGAUCUAUGUUUAUCAGUGUCGGAUCGUUGGCGCUAACCAUUAAUUCCAAAGGUUCGAGCGGUUAGAAAUAAGCAACCAAUUCACUUAAAAUAUACAGAUAUAGUGCCCACAGAUUUCGAUUGUUACUCGGCCCAACCAGUCUCAUGCCACUUCGAACAUGACUCGGCCCACCCAGCCUCACGCUAUUUCGAACAUGACUUGGCCCAACAUGGCCUCCCGCCACAGGGCAAGAUGCUGGCCCAUUUAAACCAACAAUCCCCCCUCCAGCAUCUGCAUACAUUUACAGCAUGCGGGAAUCGAACCCACAUGCGGGAAUCGAAACCAUGACCUCUAGUUCUGAUACCACUUGUCAGAUCGUUGGCGCUAAUCAUUAAUCCCAAAAGCUCGAGCUGUUAGAAAUACACAACCAAUUCACUUAAAAUGUACAGAUACAGCGCCCACGGUCUUGAUUGUGACUCGGCCUAGCCAACCUCACGCCACUUCGAACAUGACUCGGCCCACCCAGCCUCACGCCAUUUCGAAUAUGACUCGGCCUAACAUGGCCUUCCGCCACAUGACAAGAUGCUGACCCAUUUAAGCCAACAAUCAGCAUUAAUAGCUAAGUUUGAUAUUAAUUCUACCAUUAGAAAGCUUGGAAGGAUCAAAGAAAUGUACUUCUAAAGUUCUCUAGUGAAUUCUUGAUUUGGAUGCAUCUUUUUAUGUCUUGAUCUGGUGAAUUCCUGAUUUGUUUGGAAAUAAAUAUUAAUAAAAUUCAAUUAGUUUUAUAUUGUCAUUACAAUUGCUAGCAUUUCUUCAAUGCCAUGAUAUAAUUCACCAAAUUUGUGUCUGUCAUACGAACUUAUAUUUAAUAGUAAUCUUAACAGAAUCUAACAAUCUAGCGGCCUUAAUAUUUUUUUGAGUUAAUUUUAUAUAGGUCCCUGCAAACAUAGUGAAUUGCACAUGCAUCCCUACAAAGUUCAACUCUUAUAUAUUGUCCCUAUAAAAGUCAUAAUAUUUUUAAAUAUGUCCUUCUGGUUUAUGACCGUUAAAGCAUUAUCUAUUUUAUAAGUGAAAUGACUUUUUUCAUCACAAAUAUGUCCCUCCUAACUAUUGACGAAGGGUAAAAAGGUUAAUUCAUCUCAUUAACUAACAACGGUUAAGUAUUUAAACUGUGGUUAAUUAAAAUUUUCUAACGGAUUCUAACGGCAGGAAUAUAUUUGAAAAUAUUAGGACUUUUAUAAGGACAACAUAUGAAAGUUGAACUUUGUAGGAAUAUAUUUGCAAUUCACUAUAUUUGUAAGGACUUGUAUGCCGUUAA
rnacentral:lncRNA from 1 species